UUCUCCGUGGCGCAAUUGGCUAGCGCGUUCGACUGUUAUUCAUUUGACAUCGAGAGGUUGACAGUUCAAGCCUGUCCGGGGAAG
rnacentral:tRNA from 1 species